rnacentral:rRNA from 1 species
AACGAACGCUGGCGGCAUGCCUAACACAUGCAAGUCGAACGGGACCUUCGGGCCUAGUGGCGGACGGGGGGGGGACACGUGGGAACCUGCCCGUAGGUUCGCAAUAACUCCCCGAAAGGGGUGCUAAUACCGGAGAAUGUCUUCGGACCAAAGAGUUAGUGCCUUUGGCUGGGCGCGCGUUGGAUUAGCUGGUUGGUAGGGUAAAAGCCUAUCAAGGGGACGAUGCAUAGCUGGUCGGAGAGGAGGACCCGCCACGCUGGGACUAAGACACGGACCAGACUCGUACGCGAGGGAGCAGUGGGUAAUACAGGACGCGGGGGGAUGGCCUGAUACAGCAGUGCCGGGUGAGUGAUGAAGGGCUUAGGGUAGUAAAGUUCUUUUAGCCGGGGCGAUAAUGACGGUACCGGGAGAAUAAGCACCGGCUAACUCCGUG